rfam:Salmo salar isolate Sally breed double haploid chromosome ssa07, whole genome shotgun sequence.
UGCAUUCACUACUGUAAGUCGCUCUGGAUAAGAGUGUCUGCUGAAUGACUGAAA